rfam:Bosea sp. AAP35 AAP35_Contigs_2, whole genome shotgun sequence.
UCGAAAGGCGUUAAGGGCUGAUUAACGAUUCCAAAGUAUGAAUCGAACCGUCCAGAUCGUCUGGAUGUGAGUGGCUCCUGCCCGCUCUGUUUGACGCCUCCCUGUUGACCUUCGAGCCGCCUCCGGGCGGCUCUUUUUUG